rnacentral:rRNA from 1 species
UACGUAGGUGGCAAGCGUUGUCCGGAAUUAUUGGGCGUAAAGCGCGCGCAGGCGGUCCUUUAAGUCUGAUGUGAAAGCCCACGGCUCAACCGUGGAGGGUCAUUGGAAACUGGGGAACUUGAGUGCAGAAGAGGAAAGUGGAAUUCCACGUGUAGCGGUGAGAUGCGUAGAGAUGUGGAGGAACACCAGUGGCGAAGGCGACUUUCUGGUCUGUAACUGACACUGAGGCGCGAAAGCGUGGGGAGCAAACAGG